rnacentral:rRNA from 1 species
AAAUGACUCUCGGCAACGGAUAUCCCGGCUCUCGCAUCGAUGAAGAACGUAGCGAAAUGCGAUACUUGGUGUGAAUUGCAGAAUCCCGUGAACCAUCGAGUCUUUGAACGCAAGUUGCGCCCGAGGCCAUUAGGCUAAGGGCACGUCUGCCUGGGUGUCACGC